rnacentral:rRNA from 1 species
GACGAACGCUGGCGGCAUGCCUAAUACAUGCAAGUCGAGCGAACAGAUGAAGUGCUUGCACUUCUGACGUUAGCGGCGAACGGGUGAGUAACACGUAAGGAAUCUACCUAUAAGCGGGGGAUAACAUUCGGAAACGGGUGCUAAUACCGCAUAAUAUCUUCUUCCGCAUGGAAGACGAUUGAAAGACGGCUCUGCUGUCACUUAUAGAUGACCUUGCGGUGCAUUAGUUAGUUGGUGGGGUAAAGGCCGACCAAGACGAUGAUGCAUAGCCGACCUGAGAGGGUGAUCGGCCACAUUGGGACUGAGACACGGCCCAAACUCCUACGGGAGGCAGCAGUAGGGAAUCUUCCGCAAUGGGCGAAAGCCUGACGGAGCAAUGCCGCGUGAGUGAAGAAGGCCUUCGGGUCGUAAAACUCUGUUAUAAGAGAAGAACAAAUUGUAGAGUAACUGCUACAGUCUUGACGGUAUCUUAUCAGAAAGCCACGGCUAACUACGUGCCAGCCGCCGCAGUAA